rnacentral:rRNA from 1 species
GAUGAACGCUGGCGGCGUGCCUAAUACAUGCAAGUCGAGCGAACGGACGAGAAGCUUGCGUCUCUGAUGUUAGCGGCGGACGGGUGAGUAACACGUGGAUAACCUACCUAUAAGACUGGGAUCACUUCGGGAAACCGGCGCUAAUACCGGAUAAUAUUUUGAACCGCAUGGUUCAAAAGUAAAAGACGGUCUUGCUGUCACUUAUAGCUGGAUCCGCGCUGCAUUAGCUGGUUGGUAAGUUAACGGCUUACUAAGGCAACGAUGCAUAGCCGACCUGUGAGAGUGAUAGGCCACACGGGAACGGAGACACGGUCCAGACUCCUACGGGAGGGAGCAGUAGGGAAUCUUCCGCAGUGGGCGAAAGCCUGACGGAGCAACGGCGCGUGAGUUAUGGCGGUCUUCGGAGCGUAAAACUCUGUUAUGAGGGAAGAACAGAUGUGUAAGUAACUGUGCACAUCUUGACGGUACCUAAUCAGAAAGCCACGGCUAACUACGUG